GCGGACGUAGCUCAGUUGGUAGAGCGCCAGGUUGUGGUCUUGGAUGUCGUGGGUUCGAGACCCAUCGUUCGCCCCA
rnacentral:tRNA from 1 species